rnacentral:rRNA from 1 species
UGGGGAAUAUUGCACAAUGGGCGCAAGCCUGAUGCAGCCAUGCCGCGUGUAUGAAGAAGGCCUUCGGGUUGUAAAGUACUUUCAGCGGGGAGGAAGGGAGUAAAGUUAAUACCUUUGCUCAUUGACGUUACCCGCAGAAGAAGCACCGGCUAACUCCGUGCCAGCAGCCGCGGUAAUACGGAGGGUGCAAGCGUUAAUCGGAAUUACUGGGCGUAAAGCGCACGCAGGCGGUUUGUUAAGUCAGAUGUGAAAUCCCCGGGCUCAACCUGGGAACUGCAUCUGAUACUGGCAAGCUUGAGUCUCGUAGAGGGGGGUAGAAUUCCAGGUGUAGCGGUGAAAUGCGUAGAGAUCUGGAGGAAAACCGGUGGCGAAGGCGGCCCCCUGGACGAAGACUGACGCUCAGGUGCGAAAGCGUGGGGAGCAAACAGG